UAGAAUAUUACGUUGAGUUUAGAUAUAUACAAUUAAAUGAAAGAGAAGACAGAUAAUAAUUUUUGGUCAAAUUAAUUACCUCACUGUAAAGUAUCAAAAAUUCCUCUAUUUAUCAUGGAUAUCAAAUAAAAAUUUCUAACAAAAUUUAUGAGCUUUAACUCUUGUCUUUAAUUUUUAAUUAUUUAAAUAUUGUUUAAAAUAUCUCCUUGUCAUCUGAUCUUAGAACUAGUGGUCUUACAAUGAGCAAAGAUAUUACUUAAUUAUAUUUCUUAGUGAAAUUUUAGAAUGAACAAUUUCUUGCAGAGCAAACAUUUUUAAAGAUCAAAACAAAACUAUUUAUUUUUACUUACUCCUUUUAGAAAUUUUUAACACUGUCUUGACCAUUUCUAGCAUGUACAAAUAUUGGCAGCCCUUAAUUUGAUUAAUCUUCAGUUUUCUAAGAAAUAGGAAUAUAAGAUAGAAAUAGAAAGAAGAAUAAAGGUGAUAUAGAGAUAUAGAUAUGGAGGGAAAGGGGGAAAAGCAUGACAGAGAGAGAGAGUGGGAAUAAAAGGGAAGGAAAGUGGAAGUGGGAGAAGGAGAAAGGAACAAUCAAUUACAGCUAGGUUAAACAAUGUCCCAGGGCCUUGACAAUUUUAUCAAACCACAAGAUUAAAAAGUCAUUCUUUAUUCACCUAGAAAGUGUAGAACCUGAAGUAAGAGAAAUUCUCAUAACAAACAGUCUUUUAGGUGGACAACUAUCUCCCCAUGAAAGUUCGUUUCUUUCUUUUUGUUUUUUUUUGGUCUAAGGUAUGAUAAUUGUUAAUGUCAAAAGUGUCCUCAAAGUGGUCAGAUCAUAAUGGCUCUUCAUUUUUCUUGGUGAUAUUGUACCCAAGGUAAAAUAUUUCAUACCAUUAUUUCCGUGACAAGUGAGGAUAUGUAAAACUAGAUAGGUGGAGUUUUUAACAACCAUCAGGUGAAUCUGGUAUGCUUCUCAUUUUUUUUCUUUGUCUACAAUUGAAGUAUUUUCUAACCACAGAUUUAUGGCACAGCUCAUUUCUCGUGCUUUAAAAAUACCAAGGAAAAUCACACUAGGAAUGUCUCGCCUACAUUUCAAGCUACAUAAUUUCUUUUAUCCUUUGUUUUCCUUUCUAUAUUAAGCAUAAUUAUGGAAAAUAAGAUUUUUGUCGUGUCAAAAUGAUAUGUUUAGAGAAGAAUUAGAGUAUCUCUUAAAACAGUCUUUGAUCCUUUUGUUGUUCCUCUCACUUCACACUUGUUAUACUCAAAGAAACAUAAUUAUGUAUUAUAAUUUAGGGAAAAUUACCCCGUGCAAGUCUAUAUUCUAUAAAUUUAAUUCCAGAAAACUGAUUAAGACUUAAUUAUGGAUUAAAAUGUGUGUCAUAAUAAGAAUUAUAAUUACAAUGAUAUCUAACAUAUAUUUUGUAUUCACUAUGUUUCCAGCACUUUACUAAGUGAUUUACAUAUAUAAAUAUCUUUGAUCUUCACAAAAACUAUAUGAGUUAGGUGUUCCCAGGCAUUA
rnacentral:lncRNA from 1 species